rnacentral:rRNA from 1 species
UACGUAGGGUGCAAGCGUUGUCCGGAAUUACUGGGCGUAAAGCGUGCGCAGGCGGUUGUGCAAGACCGAUGUGAAAUCCCCGGGCUUAACCUGGGAAUGGCAUUGGUGACUGCACGGCUAGAGUGUGUCAGAGGGGGGUAGAAUUCCACGUGUAGCAGUGAAAUGCGUAGAGAUGUGGAGGAAUACCGAUGGCGAAGGCAGCCCCCUGGGAUAACACUGACGCUCAUGCACGAAAGCGUGGGGAGCAAGCAGG